rnacentral:rRNA from 1 species
GUAGGGUGCAAGCGUUGUCCGGAAUUAUUGGGCGUAAAGAGCUCGUAGGCGGUCUGUCGCGUCGGAUGUGAAAACCCAGGGCUCAACCCUGGGCCUGCAUUCGAUACGGGCAGACUAGAGUUCGGUAGGGGAGACUGGAAUUCCUGGUGUAGCGGUGAAAUGCGCAGAUAUCAGGAGGAACACCGGUGGCGAAGGCGGGUCUCUGGGCCGAAACUGACGCUGAGGAGCGAAAGCGUGGGGAGCAAACAGGAUUAGAUACCCUGGUAGUCCACGCCGUAAACGUUGGGCGCUAGGUGUGGAGAACCUUCCACGUUCUCCGUGCCGCAGCUAACGCAUUAAGCGCCCCGCCUGGGGAGUACGGCCGCAAGGCUA